rnacentral:rRNA from 1 species
UUCAUGGAGAGUUUGAUCCUGGCUCAGGACGAACGCUGGCGGCGUGCCUAAUACAUGCAAGUCGAGCGGACAGAUGGGAGCUUGCUCCCUGAUGUUAGCGGCGGACGGGUGAGUAACAC